GCGGCAGGCCUAACACAUGCAAGUCGAACGGUAACAGGGAAAAGCUUGCUUUUCCGCUGACGAGUGGCGCACGGGUGCGUAACGCGUAUACAAUCUACCUCUUACAGGGGGAUAGCCUUUAGAAAUGAAGAUUAAUACCCCAUGGCAUUAUAAACCGGCAUCGGUUUAUAAUUAAAGUUUCGGCGGUAGGAGAUGAGUAUGCGUUCUAUUAGCUAGUAGGUGUGGUAACGGCACACCUAGGCAACGAUAGAUAGGGGCCCUGAGAGGGGGAUCCCCCACACUGGUACUGAGACACGGACCAGACUCCUACGGGAGGCAGCAGUGAGGAAUAUUGGACAAUGGGCGGAAGCCUGAUCCAGCCAUGCCGCGUGCAGGAAGACUGCCCUAUGGGUUGUAAACUGCUUUUGUACAGGAAGAAACCUUUCCACGUGUGGAGAGCUGACGGUACUGUAAGAAUAAGCAUCGGCUAACUCCGUGCCAGCAGCCGCGGUAAUACGGAGGAUGCAAGCGUUAUCCGGAAUCAUUGGGUUUAAAGGGUCCGUAGGUGGAUUGGUCAGUCAGAGGUGAAAUCCUGCAGCUCAACUGUAGAACUGCCUUUGAUACUGCCGGUCUUGAAUUAUUGUGAAGUGGUUAGAAUAUGUAGUGUAGCGGUGAAAUGCAUAGAUAUUACAUAGAAUA
rnacentral:rRNA from 1 species